AAGAAAAUUAAAAUGUUGCCAAAUUGUACCGAGGACAUUCCCAGUACUUCUCUGCAGGGUACUAUUCAGGAGGAGACGGUUAAGUUACUGAGAUGGAAGAUGGAGACAGAUAUGAGGAAAGAAGAAUAUGAAAGAAAGCAGAAGAUGACAGAAGGAUUGGCUGAACGUCAACGUGAUCUGCUGCUUAAGUUGGAGGGGGAGAAGGCGGAGUUGAAUGAAAGAUUGAUAAACCUGGAGGUGGAGAAGGAUCAACUCUACCAUCAAGUUAUCUACACUCGGGGGGAGCUCGAGGUACACUCUGCUCAGCUGGAGCUGUUCACCAACCAGCUCAACAGGAGUAAGGUGGACGGAUCCAACAAGCAGAAGGAGAUGGGGUUGGUUGAGAAUAGUCUGACUGAUCUAAGUUAUAGGUUUCAGAAUCUCAAUAAUAACCAUGAUGAAAAGAUCGGUGAGAUUAGAUCAAGGAUUAAUCUCUUGGAGACGGAGAAACAGAAAUCUACAGAAACCUUGGUGGGACGGAUCGGGGCGCUCAAGGAGAAACUAAACCUUACUCAUGACAAGGUUAAAACCCUGGAGGAGAAAGUGAACCUGAUCGGACAGGAUCUGCUGGAAAAGUCUCAAAUCCUAUUCGGAAAAGAGAAUAUCAUCAUCAAGCUGAAGGAAGCUUUGAACAUGGAGAACAAGAAGAAGAAGGAUAGUGAAGACAUCUCCGAAAAAGAACUAAAUCUUGUCUCCAUUAGGGUUGAGGAGCUGAAGUCUGAUAUAGGUUCUCUUAAUGCUGAAAUAUCCGACCUUGAAAAUUCUCAUGUUCGUGAAAAACUAGAUAUCCAGGAUAUCCUCUCUAGUAUUGAUCAACUAACCCAGGAAAAGGCGGGUUUAAUAAAAUCCAACGAAGAUUUGAUUAAUCUGAACAACUUCUUGUCGACAAAGUCCAAGAUGUUGUUGAAGGAUGUUGAGGAGGUGAGGGAGGACAACAACCUUCUGCAGGUGAAGAUGGCGGAGUUGGAAAAACUGAAGGAAGAAUAUAAGAUUGCAAACUCGGAGCUCUCAGCUUCCGAAGAAAGGAACAAGGAUCUGAAGAACCAGGUCCGGAACCUGAGCAGGGUUAGGAAGGAGAAGCUGGAGCUGAACACCAGAGUUCUGGAUCUAGAAAAACAGAUUUAUGAAACCCGCGAAACUUACGAAACUUACGAAACCCAGGCUGAAGAUGAGUUAAAGAAAGGAAAACAGGCCAUGGAGGAUGGAAUAAGACAGGAGUUGGAGAGAUCCUCUGAACGUGAGGCAGAAAUUGCUAGUUAUGUUUCUAGGAUAAAGAAGGCCAGAGAGACCAACCUUCUCCUGCAAUCUGAUAUUGCUGUGAUAGAUGAGAAACUGGAGGCAGUGAAUAAGGAGAGGAACAAAGUGGAGAAGGAAAUGAAGAUCAUGGUUCAAAGUAGGACGGAAACAAUGAAGAAGAAUGAGCUGCUAAGAGAAAGGUUAGCUAAGAUUAGGAGUGACGGAGAAACAGCUCUGAAACAAAAAUCAGAUGAGAUCCAAGGAUUGAAAGAUUUUGUGAAGAACCGAUCUAAGUAUAGAACUGCAGAGAGCGGACGGGUUCACUCCAUGCAGGGUAUUUUAUUCACACUAACGGAGGAACUAAAGAGGAAGAGAAGUUUGGUUUUAGAAAACCAAAGAAGAAUACAAGAGGUUCAAAAGAAAUCUAGAAAGCUAGAGGAGUUGAAGAAAAAGAAUACGGAAACUAUGGUUGCUGAGGAGAGAAGAGAGGUGAAGGUUCGAAUCCAACUGGAGAAAUAUACAGAGGACUUGAUCUACCUGGAGACUAGUAUCCAGGACGCAUUCCAGGAGAAAAAAAUUGCAGAACAGAAAACUCAAAGUUUAUUACAACAACGUGAAUCCCAGAAGGAGUUAAGGAAGAGGUUGGAGAAGGUUGAGGUUGAAACUUCCCAGCUGGAUACUGUGGUUGGAGAACUACAGGAGAAGAUAAAGGAGAACGAGAAGGUUGAACUGGAGAAGAGGGAGGAGUUGAGUAGAGUUGAGGAGGAGGAUAGAGAGGAGAGAGCCAGGAUAAUGAUAUCUAUUCGUCAGAAGGAAGAAGUUAGCAGAAAGAACAAAGAGCAGCUAGAGGUUGAGAUAUCCGACCUCACGGAGAAGAUAAAAGAUAAGGAAACUAUGCUCAAGGAGAAGGCUGAAGAGAUAAAAUCAAUCAAUGAGAACACUCAGAGCAAGGGUUCCGUUGUAAACCAAAUCUUGAAGGAAACUGAAAUCCUCAUGGCUAAGUUGGAGAAUCUUACAAUCCAGAGAAAGGAGUCGCCAUACGCCCAAACCAGAAACCUUUCCCAAACCAAGGAUUAUUCUAAUCCGAGGAAGGAUGGUUCCCAAACCAAGGAUUAUUCUACUCUAAGGAAGGAUGGUUCCCAAACCAAGGAUUGUUCUACUCCAAGGAAGGAUGGUUCCCAAACCAAGGAUUAUUCUACUCCAAGGAAGGAUGGUUCCCAAACCAAGGAUUAUUCUACUCCAAGGAAGGAUUGUUCAACUCCUCCUAGGCAACUGAGUACACAGAAGAAGGAUGUUUACGACCUUGAUUUCACAGAAAGCAGGGGCAGAGGUAAGUGGAACCCGAAUUAGCAAAAUUUGUUAUUGUCGGGACCCGGAUUAGUCUUGCUUGCCUUACAUACAAUGUACACAAACACGAGAAGGUGGAUUUAUCCGGGAGUAAACUCGGAGUUGGAUGUGUAUCCUGGACAAGUAUACCAGGAGUUGGAUUCAAUUCCUAUGUUGGAGAACUUUAAACUGUUAUUGUGUAAACAGCUGACUGAUUCAGGGCUCAUGGAGACACUGAGCAUCAUAGCAGGGGACACUAAACAGAUUGAAGAUUGAUAACUGUUAAUACAUCGAGUAUUUUCUCUUGUAUUCCUCGACUAAAAUUAAAUAUCUAUUUAGUGAUUUUUAUUUAAAUCAUAGUAUUAUAUCUCUGAGGGAAUGGAGAACAGGUUGUCUAGCUUGGAGCGCAUGGUGGAGUAUGAUCUGAUCGUUGUGCUCAAGCAUUUAACUAUGAAUGAUAAGAUGUCAUUGAGAGUAUCAAGUACAACUUUGCUGAGAUGGAUUGAUGAGAUAGAGAACAUCUUCAAUAUUUGGAGUAUGGAUGGAGCUGAUUCUACAAGACUGAAAAGAUUAGUAGACGAGAUAUGUACUGUUCAAGUAGGGUGUACUGCCAUGUGAUUACACAUAGGGUUCUGUUCAGCCACAAGAAACUGGAGAGAGUUGCAUAAGAACCUGACCAUUCUGAGCUCCCUUGAUGUUUACACAUAGAACCAGAUUCAAUCGAAAGAAUUAAGGUCUGUCUGAUGAGUUCGGAUACUUAAUAACAGCUAACCAGACUUGUUAUUAAGGAGUAGAUUUAAAGCUGCUAGUAGCAAAAUCUGGAUCCAGCA
rnacentral:misc_RNA from 1 species